GCGGAUAUAGUUUAAUGGUAGAACGUCUGGUUGCCAAUCAGACAGCGGGGGUUCGAUUCCCCCUAUCCGCA
rnacentral:tRNA from 1 species